ensembl:lncRNA
GGGAAACUUUCCGCAAGGCCCCGGCGCGGAGCUGGGCGGGCUUGGUGGCGCUGGUUUCACGGUGGGUUCGUGCUCCGGAGCCUGCCGCUUCUGCGGACCCGGCCAGGGCUGCCGCUGCCUCGGGGCUUUGGUGUCGGGGCAGGCGGUGCCGGUCGCGGCUCUUUGGAAGCAGGGCGGAGCCCCGCGCCAGGUGGCACAGCGAGGUUUUGUCCUCCUCUCCCGCCGCAUCCCCCCGUUGGUGCCAUCUCUUGGACAGUUUGGGACUUGGUGGUCAGUCCAGCUGCUGUUGGUUCCACCUCUGGUAUCUGCAGCUGGGGAUGCCGAGAUGGGAUCAGACACAGGAGACCUCCGCCAGCACUAACCGGGAAAAGCUGCUCCCGGUGUGCUGAGCGGUGAGCCGAGCCCGGGACCGCUGAGCGGGCGGGUGACACGGUGAAGGACACCGGGAGCGUGCCCGGUGCUCUGUACAGCAUCAUGCCCAGCUGAGUCCGCAGCAGAGUGUCAGAGGCCGGUGAGCAAUUCCAGCCUCCCGGCCAGGCAGCGAGACGUGACAGGCUCGGAACCUACUGACCAUUGUGGGGGCAGCUGGGGGAAAGGAGAGCUGCCUCCUCACCUUGUAACAUCCCUCAUUCCACUUGUCCCUUUCUGUACUUUGCAGCUUCCCCUGACUGCACUAAGUCCCCAUAAUUAUUAAAGAAAAAAAUUGUUUUAUCUUAAAGCAGCCAGAGCUUCCUUAGUUUUCCUCUACAUCAUUUCCUUUUCCGGGACAGAAAUUUUUAAGUGUCUAACCUCACACUAGUAGGCUUUUUUUCUUCGAAACACCAGCCUUCGAAACCCUUGUUGCCACGGGCACUGUAGCACCAGCUGCAGCCAUGCAGCUUCUGCAGGACACAGAGCAGGCCAGUUGUCUCUCACUUGGGUCCAGAGAUUUGACAUUUACCAUUUAUUGGGUUUCUAUUCACUCUCUUCCUCAUUCUACAGACCCCACCUGGCAGCUGGUUUCCUUGCCACUUUGGUGAGGGGCUUCUUUCUCCUCCUCCUUUAUCAGCUCAGCUCAUUUUGUUUGCUGUCACCUCCCUCCAUCACUCAUGCUGGGUGGGUCAGGAUUUACCUCACACCUUGUGCUUUCCCUCGAGCAGCAGUUCACUGUGCCAGUGCUGCUGGCAUCUGGUGGCACAGAGACUGAGGAGUGUCUCUGAGUUCUUAGUGAGCAUUUGACUCACCCAAGCCUGAGGCGUGGUUGCUAUGCUUAUCUCUUGGAUUGGAAGGAUGGGUGCUGGAUUUCCAAAACCCAAAGCAGGGUCCCAGCACCACUGGUAGAAAACUUUUUCCCCAGACGUCCCCACAAUGACUGAUAGAAAGGCUGCAUAGUCCCAAGGAAGUGGGGUGUAAGUAAUGUGGGCAGGUGUGACCAGAGAUGAUGGGCAAGGAGAGAUGACAAACACAAUAAAAUCACAAAUGAUAUGGGGAAUCAGCAGAAGCUGUCAGCGUAUCUGACAACAGAGGAUCCAUAUGGGUGUAGUAGCUUUAAACAAAUAAAUGUAACUCAUGCAUCUUAUGCACAGCUUGAUAACGUGAGAAGUGGAUGGCUCUAGGAUGCCAUGAACACCAGAGGCAUGAGAUUCAAAAGGGAUUAGCCAAACUUACAGAGAGCAGAUUUCUCAGUGGUUAUUAAAAAUGUCUACCUGAGUCAUCUUACAGUUCAUGAGGUCCCUGAACUGACUCUUCAGGUAUUGCUAUUCUGUACUCCCUCUGCUUGUAUGGUGAAUUUAAGUGAGGUGUCUGAGUUGAUCUUGCAGCUGCUGAUACAUGCAGUUGAAUGUCCCUCGUAAAAUUACUUGUAUGUGCUGCUUCUUCUGCACCAGUUCUGGCAUUUGUUCUGUUUAUCAAACAAGCAGGCAACUAACUCAGAGUGAAUACUUCUCUACCUACAGUGAGUUGAAUUAGCCCACUGUUUUCUAAUCCAGUGGUUCUUGCUUCUCUCUGCAAAUUAGAAGUGGAGAUUCUCCUGAUUCCAGGUGUUUGGGUUUUAAGUAUUUAGAAGAUCUGAUUCAUUAUAAGAUCCUGAUGUUUGUUGAAUUAAUUCCUAACGGCUCUGACAGAGCUGGAGCCUUGGUUGUGUUAGGUUCCACAGAGUUUAGGAACAGUAUUAAACACAGCAAGCAGGGAAAAAGAAACAGGAUCAUGCUUGUGUGAACGGAAGUGCUGCAUGGCUUGCUAGUCUCACAUCAUUAUCAGCAGUCUAUAUGGCAAUGUAAGUUUUGUUGGGUUUGGGGUUGUGUGUAUGACUGUUUCUUGUUCCUAGAAUCAGCUAGGUGCCACCAUGAGUCCCCACAGAAGCCUGCAGCCAUGUCAAGGUAUGGUAACAAAAGCACUGAGAAGCCUGCAGCACAUACGAAACAGGUUGAUAUCUUGUUAGUUUGUACUGCUGCCAUCUUCCUCUCACUCAGAAAACAUGUGCAGUCCAGUGAGAACACCAUCUCCUCAAACCAAGGGCUUUCAUACCCAUCUUCACCAGCUGCAUAAGGAGCCAGAACCUGACACACCUGGACAACACCAGGAUGGGGAGUGGCAAUUGCUGGAAAUCAUAAACAGGAUUUACACACACUAUGAGUAGGGUUUGUCUGAAUACAUCAGACAUCUCCACCACUGAUUCUUCUACACAAGUCUCAUUUCAAUCUUGCAGCAUAGGUAAUGUAAAUAAUGUCAUUAAGCAUUAUGAGGGGAUGUUUCACCUCUUCCUGGAGCAGACAUCUUAAAAAUGUCAGCUGAAGUAGGUCUACACGUGGGGCCAGAAGGGGUGCAUUUAAGGAUGCCAAGGGUGCUUGCCAAUAUAAUUUCAAAACUGGCACCGUAGCUACAGCUGUGUCUCUUGACAUUUGUUCAAGGACUUGCAAGGUUUACUGCAGAGGGAGUUGUGAACUCAAUAAAGAAAAGCAGGAUACCAAGUAGUUUCCAUGGUAGUUCAAAAUUUGAAAUUGUCUAUCCAUCAUUAACUGCUACGGAAUAGACAGGAAAAUACAAAGCACCACAUCUUCACAGAUACCUUUUGUUAGAAUAUCAGAGUGGUAAAAAAUUAUAAUUGUCAAUGAAAGCAUUCUGACACCAGGUAAAAAAGCCUGUUCUGCAAAAACAUUUCCAUCAUAUCAAGGACUUAUUACAUAUACAAAACAGGAAGAGGACUUUUGAGCAUGUUUGUUUGUGAAGAUGUGAUCUGUUCAUCAAUAGGACUUUGUAUACUUAAGUAGUCUUACAUAUUGUUCUUUUGUUCCUCUGUGCAUUUUGUUCCUAUUGUGCAUUUGUUCUUUUGUACUCCCCUGACAAGGAGCUGUUUUCCAGUUGGUGAGCAUGGUGGGAUUUCUUCAACCCUCAGGCUUUCAAUGACCAUAUUUCUUUCACAUAGCAAGGUUCAGGUUUGUCCUGGGAGGAAUGAUCAUGUUCCAUGUUCAUUGUCCUGCCAGUCUUCUGUCAUGGUGACUCCACAUUGCUGACAUUCAUCCUCUUCCCUGGUUGUAGGAAUAAUCUGCACUGGAAUUUAAAUGCAGGGUGCUGCAGUGAACACACAUGCUUUGACAUAUAUUUAGCUAUUUCUUCUAUUUUCAAUAAAUGUUACAAUAUCAUUGAAACAACUAUCUUCUUGGACAUAUCAAUAUGUACUUCUAUACAAACAUAACAUGUUUUAACUUACCUUUGUGCUCAAUAUUGCUAGAGCUUCACUGGAGAGGCACUGAGAUAUCACUCAGCCCUCAUGUACUUUAUGUGGAAUACAUUUGUGUGCUCUGGACUGCAAUUCACAGAGUGUUGUAAAACACGGUAAAUACGGACAUUGAUCUCCGUGACAUGAGAGCCUCCUCCUUCCAACUCAGAGGCUGUGAGUGUUAUUUAAUUUAUGAUCAUCUCUAGCAAGUGUUUUCAUCUGCCAGUUCCAUAUCACUGUUUUUUCCAAUAUAAAUUACUGAGGCCUGCUAUCAAAUAUUUACUAACAAUAAGAAUGGUGUAAUAUUAGACCAUGUGCAUUUUAAAAUUAACCUAUAACCUAACCAAAGAAAGGGCCUACUUUGUUUACUCUUGAAUGAAACAGUGUCAAAGAAGAGUGGUGGAUCACCUUCCUACCAUGUAUUUUACCAUUCUCUUCAUAAUUGGAAAUCUUCAAGAGUAGGAAAUACAGGAAGAGAGCAACAGCAUGGUUGAUACAGGCAAGGAAUGGACUAGCCAGCCUCUCAAAGGCUCUUCUAGGGCCAUGAUCUGUAAUUUUAUGUUUCCCACUGAGCAGGUGAAUCACUCAGGGAUCUUGGAAGUCAUCACAAACUGGCCCAAAGGCGAACAUUUCAGACUAUCAUCAUCAGAGGAGGAUGAAACGUUGACUGCUGGUAUAACAGCAAAUUGAACAGUACAGGGACUGGCCUCAGGUGUGGGAGUUCAGUUGCCCACACUGGUUUAUGGUUCAAGCCUUCCCCCGUGGGCUGUGGCCUGUGUCAGCUCACAUGUCCCCAGGCAAUGCAGCAGCACAGCUCAGGAGUGAGCCAGGCGAGAACUGCACUGGCAGUGGCCACUCUGGACACACUUUAAGAGGACACUGUGUGGACAUGGCAAUGUGGUGGCACCACCCAAAUCUCUUAAGCUUGACAGAGCUAGAUCAGUGCCCUUUUGGGAGGGUAAAGGAGCCAUAUCCCAAACAGAGCAGCCUUAAAUGCUUUCUGUGAGAGAGGACUGCCCUAGUGUGACCACACAACUGCUCUGUCUGACUCUGCAGCAUGUGGGUGGUCCUGGUGUGGCAAGCACAUUUCUCUCCCUCUCAGGAUUUUUCAUAUAAGUGCACAGAGAGAAAUGAAAGAGAAAACAAUUUCUAUUUCUGCUCCUUGUUUUUCCUAUGUGGAAUGUGUUUGGAGAAUUGUUUACCUGGGGUGAUGCUUGGUUGGAUUCUGGUGAGGAUUGUUUGAGCCUGAUGGCCAAUCCAGCCCACAUGGGGCUGGACUCUCAGAGAGGGUCACGAGUUGUGUUAGAGAUAGAGAA